UACCCCCGGCGAACGGGUGAGUAACGCGUAGGAACUUCCAUUAAGUUUGGGAUAUCCUCUCGAAAGGGAGAGCAAUACCAGAUGUGGCCGCAAGGCUAAAGUCGCAAGACGCUUAAUGCAAGGCCUGCGUCCCAUCAGCUAGUUGGUAAGGUAAUGGCUUACCAAGGCUAUGACGGGUAGCGGAAGCGAGAGCUUGAUCCGCCACACUGGGACUGCGACACGGCCCAG
rnacentral:rRNA from 1 species